rnacentral:rRNA from 1 species
UAAUAUGGAGAGUUUGAUCCUGGCUCAGGAUGAACGCUGGCGGCGUGCCUAAUACAUGCAAGUCGAGCGAACUGAAGAGGAGCUU